CAGCAUUUUCCACCCUCUCAGCUCCUCCCACGGAUUCCCAGAGGUCCUGAGGACGUAGUGACCCCAGAAGUCACUGGAGCGCCCUGAAUGCUGACGUCAGCUCCGCCUCUCGCUCUAAUCAGAGAAAGAACGUGACGGGCCGGCUUUAACUCCUGUCCAGGUGUGGAGAUUUAAGGAGUCCCCUCCUCGCAGGAGGGGGGAUUAGCCGGCCCCGGGGACACCUCUUAGGUGGUGCCUCCCACCCAGCCAGAAGCCAAGGGUUUCAGCCAUCUUUCCCGGUUCCUUCCAACCCUCCUUCUGUCAUCUGGUGUGAAUCCCCUGCAGUCUGGGUGGUUCCUGGUUCCUAGGGAUUUGUAUCGUCCUUCUCUUUCUCCCCUGCUCUCCAAUCCAGAACGGAGCCAGACUGGGAAAUCCUGGAGCAUUUCCUUGCUUGACCAAAGGUAGAGAUGCUCUGGAGGGGACUAGUCUGGGUUCAAAAACCAGGUAAACAUUCUGGUUCCACAGGUGUGGAAUUUCACACUUUGACCUUUUCUGACUGGCUGGUGGAGGGGGGCAUGAGCCUUCAUUAGUACCCUAAAUGCUGGAAACACUGCUUAGUAGCAGAAAAGGAGGUGGGGGGGGGGCGUUACCUUGCCACCAAGGGAGCCCACUCUUACCUGCUCAAAAUGACUCCCCAGCUGUCCCUUAAAUUUCAUCUCUUUAGCUCAGCAUUUUAAUCCCUGUCACAGUAAUAAUUUUCCAGGGCAUGGAAAUCAUCCCAUUUGAUGAGAACUGACUUGGGAAGGGAGGAGGGAGAGGUGGGAAGGAGCAAGGAGACAGGAAGGGAAGUCAGCAAGAACCAGGAGGGAGGGUUCAGAAUCCGGAAGCCCUGGGUUAAUGCUCAGGCUAAAAGCUUUGUCAGGGGCCUGUCCUGGCUAAUGGGCAGUGGUGAGAAAUUCUAAUAGGUUCUUUUGUCAGUUGCUUUGUGCAAAUACACCCAAUCAUUCAUUAAUAAAAUUUAUGUGUUCUCUGA